rnacentral:tRNA from 1 species
UCCCUGGUGGUCCAGUGGUUAGGACUUCACAUUUUCACUGCUGAGGGCGAAGGUUCAAUCCCUGGUUGGGGAA